GCCGGAGUGGUGAAAUUGGUAGACACGUCGGAUUCAAAAUCCGAUGCGGUAAAACGCGUGCCGGUUCGAGUCCGGCCUCCGGUACCA
rnacentral:tRNA from 2 species